rnacentral:rRNA from 1 species
CAGUGCGGCGCGCUUUACCAUGCAAGUCGAACGAGAAAGCGGGGGUAACCUCGUGAGUAAAGUGGCGUCCGGGCGAUUAACACGUGGAUCAUCUACCCCGAAGUGGGGAAUAACGCUGGGAAACCGGCGCUAAUACCGCAUAAUCCCGAGAGGGCAAAGGAGCAAUCCGCUUUGGGAGGAGUCCGCGGCCGAUUAGCUUGUUGGUAGGGUAAUGGCCUACCAUGGCUUUGAUCGGUAGCUGGCCUGAGAGGGCACACGGCCACACUGGCACUGAAACACGGGCCAGACUCCUACGGGAGGCAGCAGUGGGGAAUCUUGCACAAUGGGGGAAACCCUGAUGCAGCGACGCCGCGUGAGCGAUGAAGCCCUUCGGGGUGUAAAGCUCUUUCGGCAGGGACGAUUAUGACGGUACCUGCAGAAGCAGCUGCGGCUAACUACGUGCCAGCAGCCGCGGUAAUACGUAGGCAGCAAGCGUUGUUC